UACGGGGGGGGCAAGCGUUGUUCGGAAUUACUGGGCGUAAAGGGCUCGUAGGCGGCCAACUAAGUCGGAUGUGAAAUCCCCAGGCUUAACCUGGGAACUGCAUCCGAUACUGGAUGGCUUGAAUUCGGGAGAGGGAUGCAGAAUUCCAGGUGUGAGCGGUGAAAUGCGUAGAUAUCAGGAAGAACACCUAUGGCGAAGGCAGCUCUCUGGGACGGUACUGACGCUGAGACGCGAAAGCGUGGGGAGCGAACAGG
rnacentral:rRNA from 1 species